GACGAACGCUGGCGGCGUGCUUAACACAUGCAAGUCGAACGGAAAGGCCCUGCUUUUGUGGGGUGCUCGAGUGGCGAACGGGUGAGUAACCCGUGAGUAACCUGCCCUUGACUUUGGGAUAACUUCAGGAAACUGGGGCUAAUACCGGAUAGGAGCUCCUGCUGCAUGGUGGGGGUUGGAAAGUUUCGGCGGUUGGGGAUGGACUCGCGGCUUAUCAGCUUGUUUGUGGGGUAGUGGCUUACCAAGGCUUUGACGGGUAGCCGGCCUGAGAGGGUGACCGGCCACAUUGGGACUGAGAUACGGCCCAGACUCCUACGGGAGGCAGCAGUGGGGAAUAUUGCACAAUGGGCGGAAGCCUGAUGCAGCAACGCCGCGUGCGGGAUGACGGCCUUCGGGUUGUAAACCGCUUUCGCCUGUGACGAAGCGUGAGUGACGGUAAUGGGUAAAGAAGCACCGGCUAACUACGUG
rnacentral:rRNA from 1 species